UUUUUAAUGGCACAGACUUUUAAUUUUUUUUCCCUUGCAAUCUGUUCAGCUAUUCAAUAGACUACAAUUUUAAUAUUUGGUUCAUGUCUUGUAAAUUGAUUAUGAAAAAUCAAAAGCGUUCAAGAGAUCAAUUGUAGCCUAAACAAAAAAACAAGUGUUAGCUCCUGAAAAGCAUUAGCUGGGGUUUUCUACAAUAUAAAUUAUAACUGGCAGUAUUUAAUUCUGUGUAAGAAAUAUAUUGAUAAAAUACUUGCACAUGUUUCCCUGGACAGUUUUCAUGAAAUCUAGCACCUAGUCCACAAAGUCCUUCAUCCUUAUUUAAAAUAAAUAUGGAUUUUGACACAUAUUCACAGAUGGCUACCUAAGAAAUUUUAGCGUGCUUUUGACAUAACUGAAAAAAGAUAUUCUUAGAAGCAUUUGCAAUUCUAGGUGGAUGCUACUUGAGAAGUACACAUGUAAAAAGGUGAAAAGACUGGCCUCUGUCACCAUGGAUGUGUCAGUGUCUCCAUUACCCAGAUCAAAUUUAGCUAUAGUUUGCAUAAAGAGGAAGGGUGAUUCACCUUGGGUCAAAUACUCAGUGCUCAGUAAAAGGGUAAAAUUUAAGUGACCUUAUCUAUUGCUGUCACUUGUCACUGUAGGGAUCAAUUUAACUUUACAACAUUCAAAGCAUCUUUUAUUCCUUUUUGCUGCCACAGCACAACUCAACAUGAUUCUUUCACUGAGUGCUCUUAGGUCCCCAGUGGGCUCUUAAGAUUCUCAGGGUAAUUGUGUAAUGGAAUACAGUCUGACUGGCUGCAACCUACUGGUUUCUGGCACUCCAGAACAAAAACAAAUCAAAACAAAUCCCCAGCAUCCAAAAACCUCUUUCACUCUUCUUGUCUACAAAGCAUGAUCAUAGGAGAAUUCAUGAUUUUUUUUAAGAGGAAGAAAGGGGAAAGGGAGGAUUAACUUGGAUAAUGUGAAUAUCUAAGGAAUGCUAACAAAAUUCAGAAAAAAAAAAAAAGUUGAUCACAAGCAUUCAGUACAAAAUUGAAUUAAUUGCAUGCAGAGUAAAGACUGAUUUAAACUCAUAGAAGCAUCAUUAAGGAGAAAUCUAGGCCUUCAAAUAAGAAUUUCUGAUGUAAGAUUAAAUGCUAUAUAAGGUUAUACCAUCCAAAGUCACAGUCUUUAAUAUAUAUUUUUCUUUAGCUUACCUGGUAAAUCUGGCAAACAGGAUUGGCUGUGCAAGCCAUCUACUUAACAUCUCCUCAAAGUCAAACAGAAAAAAGUUACAGCACUUCUUUAUCGUAUGCUCUUUUUAAAAGUUAUUUCCAAUUUUUAUUUUUAUUGUAUGCAGGUGGUUGCAAGAAUACAACAGCAAAUUGAAUGUGUUUAUAAAAACAGUUAUAGAUCUCAAAUACUGUUCACUACCUAAUAAUAUUGUCAUCCACCCUGUUUGCAACCUAAAAGGUCAGAUUUCCAGGGGAAGCUGAAGAAGAGAUGAUGGACCUUUUAGCUCUAAAAAACACCCUACAUAAAAGUCCUUGCCAUUUUGGCUUUGAAGUUAGUUAGGGGAGGGGACUUAGCACUAAUAAAUUAUUCAGUAAAAUGUGCACAAUUAAAUGCCAUUUAUAGUAUUUUAAACAUUAACUUUCAAGCUUUCUUUUAAGAAGAUGUAGUCACAGAAAAACAGGGUUAGCAAGCUAUUUUUAUGAAGCUAUCAUAUGAACCUUUAAAGUUUUAAAAUUAGUACCUUCAAAGAGAGCCAGUAGCUCUAACUAAAUAAGACAAUAUGAUGUUUUAUCUGAUUUGAUUUCAAACCUCAAGGUCUGUAUGUUCUCAUGCUGCACCCAGAAAUUUUGCAAACAUGAAUUCAUUUCCCACGUCCAGUGAGGCUGCUCAAACAUUUAACUACAUAUUUAUAUGAUUUUUGAGGAAAACCUGUAAAUCAUCUGAUAGGUGACAGGAAAAUUAAAGGAAAUACUUGCUGGUUUAGUAUAUAUAUGUGUGUGUGUAUGUAUGCCUGUGUGUGGGUGUGUGUAUAAAAAUUUGUUUAAUUUUUUCACCUCAACCCCCAUUUCAGAGAUUUAAACCAGUUCAAGGACCUAGGACCAAUUCAAGGGUAUGGAAGGUGUGUUACAGAGACAACUGGUCUCUGAAUCAGCAGGUUACACAUCACUAUACUGCAGUCUAGAAGAGCUUUCAAUAUUAAGACGUUUGUCUUUUACUAACAGGAAUAACUCAUGUACUGAUUGUGUUGUUUUAAAGUACUUAAAAAAAAUAGAUACUUAAAAUUUACUUAGUACUGUAAAUUAGAUACUUAAUAUCUUAAGUAUCUUAGCCUUGUCUUUAUAUCUUAAAUAUCUUAGCCUUGUCUUUAAGUAUCUAAUUACAGCAUAUGUUUUGAGAUAAACCUGAAAAUAUAAAUAAUGGGCUAUUUCCAUCUAAAUGUCCAGCUCUUCUAUUUGGGGCUGAGAACAAUCUCUCCUUACAGAAAUUAUUCUAAACCCUGUUGUUAAAUAGAUGACCAAGACCAUCAAAACUGUUCUUAAUCUUAUGGGUGGAAUUGAAGCAAAAUAGUGAAUUUGAAAUACUCAUUAGAGAGUGUGUAUUUCAAUACUGAUUGUUGAGAGAGUUAGGAAAUUAUAAUACUUCUUUUCAACUUCAAAUAAUUACAGCUCUGUAUGAAUUUUUGCCAAAUAUAAGAAAAUAUUGUCUUUACAUGUAUAAAUCUGUUUACUUUUUGCUCUUCAAAACACAGAAACUUAAGUUUAGACCCCUGCAAAGUGGUACUGAAAGAUUUUUUUUAGUCUCACCACAAGGAAAUGUCCUUCUAGUUCAGUCAAACUCAUGCAACCUGAUGUUAAUUUGGAACAGUUUUCCCCACAAUCUUCCACACUGUUAUUCCUUCUACAUACCCUUCUUUUCUGUUUGCAUGUACCAACAUUUACAUUUAAAAAGAAUCCAUGGGGUUCUUUUUGUUCAGGCAUUUGAAGAAAAAAGAUUUUUAUGCUUUGCUGUCUACUUUGAAAAUAUUUAAUUCUAACAGAAUACUAUUGGAAUAACAUUUUUCAUUUCAGUUUCAAAUAAUAUGAAAUGGAAGAAACACUUUAUAUAAUGCAUUUAUUUCUAUAACAACCUACUCUGACAAGACCUCAUUAUACUUCAGGCUAUCAUCUGGAGCAUCUGUUCACAUAUCCCUUAAACUGUGAAGUAGGCAAUGUAUCAGCACAAAGUGUGUGCUAAACCAUCAGAGCAAUACUAGGAUCAUCCCUUCUCAAGUGAAAAUGAAAAUUAAUACCUGAAGCCAAACUUUUUUCUCAAGUGAAAAUGAAUACCUCAACAUAUGGGCUGCUACCUGCCAAAAAGUAACACGUAAGUAAAACAUUAGAAGAGAAUACACAGAAUCUGGUUUCUCUGUGGAAAUAUUUCUGCAGGACAGACAGCCUAUAGGCAGAGUAGACUGAAACUAUUCUAGCACCAGGUAACUAAUUUCAAAACUGAAGGUAUCUGUAAAACUACUCAUUUUCACAUUUUUUUCACAUAUUACAGCUACUUCUAGCAGAUCUGGAAAUCUGAAAGACUGUGGGGUUUGAUUGAAACAAGAGCUAUUUCCUUACUAACUGUGCUAAUUCAGCAAAAUUGUAAAGCUGAGCUGAAUCAUCAUGCAAAUCUGUGAGAAGCUUUAAAAUACUAGCUGCAAAACGAACACACAUUUUAUAUUUAUUCAUAAAGCGAAGAGACUAAAAAUCUGAAUCUUCCUUAUGUCUGCUGAACUUUACAAUACACUACAGAGCAAGAAUUCUAAUAUUAAAAAUUUAAAAAUAAACCCUAAACCUGGUAUGAGGUACAGUCACAGCCAUUUGGAAUAUAAUUGGCUUUCAUUUAUAUCACAUUAUUAUAAUGUGCAGAGAGCACACACUUCCUGAUAGAGCUGUUAGUUAUGUUUAUGUUCCAGUACAAGACACAUACACAGCAUGCUUCAUUAAAAGUAACAUGUAAGAGAAACAGGCACACUGUUUGCAUCAGAAUUCUAGCUGCAGAGUACCUUAAAAAUAUCUACCAUUGCACUUCCAGCUUCAUGUUCAGUUUUCAAUCUCCUAUAAACCAAAACACCUGAAUAUUAACAUGAAGUUGGCCACAAUUAUGAAACCCAUUGACCACUUUUUCUCAGAAGAGAAUAAAUGUGGUAGAAGCUACACAAACACGUUCAAGUGCUGUCCCAAAACAGACUACUGCAUGCAACCAGCAAGUUCCAAACAGCUUUCAAAACAUACAAAAAUCUGAUAAACACCCUCAGCCUUCUGAAUGUCAGAAAGCAUCCAGGCACAACUCCAGAGACAAGAUAUCCUUGUUGAAGAUACUGCUCCAAAAGCUUAAGCUUAAGCUCCAAGAGCUUAAGCUGUCUUCUUUGUGAAGCUGAUCAACAGGAUUCCUUCUUCACUAGCAGUACAAAGAGAUAAACCUUCCUCGAUAUUUCUUCCUGGAAACUAAAUUUUGUCUGAAUAGGCUCUGCUUCAGUAGGGGAAUAUGCCUAGAAGAUUCAAGAUAAGCAUCUUCCAUUGCUGCUGUUCCAAAAGUCAUGACUGACCAGAAGGCACUAUGGUUACAUGCCAGCAUUUCAAAGGCUGUGCUUGCAUACUCAUGUGCUGAGCAGACUGGAAACAAUGAGGCUGAAUACAUCUGGUCUCAAUUGACCCCAACCUCCUUGGUCUACUAUUUCCCGUCUGCUUUAUGUCUCACUGAAAUACUCAUAAUCAAGAAUCAAAACAGUUCAACAGAGGAGGAAGAAAUAGAGUACCCAGAAAUUUUGAAAGGUAAGAAAAAAAUUAAAGUAAGAGCAGUUAAAGGGUCAGUUAACAUAUUUUCUGAUCAAAAUUAUGGCAAAUUUCUUAUUUUUAUUCCAGGAAAUGUAAUUAAAAUGUGGUGAGAUUUGAUGUAGAUGACAACUCAUCAAUCACAAUCCCCAGUACUGGGGAGGACCCAGUACUUCGGUAAGCCUAAGGACAAGAAGCCUAAGGACAUCUAUGGAUUAUAUUUCCUGCAAUACAGAGAGUGGGACUGAGUGCAAGUUUGCUGAUGGCACAAGGUGUAUGGUCUGGUUGACAUGCUGGAGGGAAGCGAUGCCACCAGAUGGACUUUGACAGACUUCAGAGGUGGGACCAUGUGAACUUCAUGAAGCUGAACAAGGCAAAGUGCAAGGUGCUGCACCUGGGUUGGAGCAAUUCCAAGCUCAAAUACAGUCUGGAAGAGAAUGGAUUGAGAGAAGCCCAGAGAAGAUAGACUUGUGGGUGUCGUUUCAUAAGAGGCUCAGUAUGAGUUGGCAAUGUGUUUUCAGCCUAGAAAGCAAAUCAAUUCCUGAGAAUCAUGCAUCAGAAGUAGUAUGGCUAGCAAGGUGAGGGAGGUGUUCUUCUCCCUCUCCUGAGACCCCACCUGGACUGCUGCAUCCAGCUCUGGGUUCCCCAGCAUAAGAAGGAUAUGAACCUGUUGAAGCAAGAUCAGAGGAGGGCCACAAAAGAUGAUCAGAGAGCUGGAACCCCUCAUCCAUGAGAACAGACUGGUGUUGGGGUUGUUCAGACUGGAGCAGAACAGGCUCCAGGGAGACCUUAUAGCACUUUCCACUCUCCUAAGGUGAUCUACAAGAAGUCUGCAGGGACUGGUCACAAGGACAUAUAUUGAUAAGACAAGGAGCAGUUUUUAAACUAAAAGAGGGUAGAUUUAGAUAGAUAUUAGGAAGAAAUACUUUAUUGUGAGGGUACUGGCAUAGAUUCCACAGGAAAGCUUUGAAUGCCCCAUUUCUGAAAGUGUUCAAGGCCAGGUUGGAUGGGGAUUUGAGAUAUCUGGUCUAGUGGAUACUCUCCCUGCCCAUGGCACAGCGGGUGGAAGAUGAUCUUUAAGGUCCCUUCCAAGCCAAAAUGUUCUAUGAUUCUAUGAUUCCUUGCAUGUCCAAAUUUUAAUGGCUGCAAAAAGCUUGAAAAUCUAAAUACAUCUCUGAAAUUUCACUUGUAAUGUGUGUAGGUGGCAAGAUUUUGAGCAACAUGAGGGCAUCAGGGAUGGCUGCUUUGGCAGGAGAUCAGAAGGAGUCGCCACAUUGGAAUAAAUAUCCAUCUUGCAGCCCUCAAAGGACUCCCCUCUGGAAUGUUGUUGUUUAUUUCCUUUUAAGAUUAAGAUAUAAAGGAAUGUAUAUUUUGUAUAUUUUCAGAUUCCAAGACCUACUAUUUAUUAGUCAUAAUGCCUCACAAUGGUCAAGGUUGCUUUCUCAUGCAAGAUUCAUGAUGGUUUUUAGUUAAUUUAUUGUACUUCCUGGAGUUCUGAAUGCCACAGCUAUAUAGCACAAGUUUAGGAAGGUUUACUUGCUAUCAAAUAUCAUCCUCUAAUUCAAAAAUUUUUAUACUAGGAGAUCAGAGGAUAAGACUCAAAUAAAAAGGAAGAUCUAGCACUACUAUAAUACAUCUUUUAUGAAGAAUUACCUUUAGAUUUUUCACUCUUUUUGUUCAGUUAAAUAACAAAUAAUUUCUGUACAUAGAUGUACAAAUGUGAACGGGUAUAGAUACAUAAGAUAAGUGCUUAAGUGUUUAUACAUAUUAAAAAUAUGCACACAUGUCUAACCCUUGAGACAUCAUGCUGUGCAUCUGGAUUUCAGAUUACAGCAGUUUGGAUUAUUUGCUUAUACAAAGCUAUAUUGGCAGUACCUUUUAACUUCUUAUACUUAAGUGAGGCUCAGGUGAGAGAUUAUUCUGAAUGCUCAGAUGGCAUUGGAGAAUGUUAAGUCUCUGACAAUAAAGACAUUUAUCUCGAUUUGCA